rnacentral:rRNA from 1 species
GAUGAACGCUGGCGGCGUGCCUAAUACAUGCAAGUCGAGCGAAGCGGGGACGGGUGAGUAACACGUGGAUAACCUCCUAUAAGACUGGGAUAACUUCGGGAAAACCGAGCUAAAACGGAUACUUAUGGAUGGAUUCGCGGUGCAUUAGCGAGUUGGUAAGGUAAUGGCUUACAAAGGCAACGAUGCAUAGCCGACCUGAGAGGGUGAUCGGCCAAACGGGAACUGGGACACGGUCCAGACUCCAACGGAGGGAAGCAGUAGGGAAUCUUCCGCAAUGGGCGAAAGCCUGACGGAGCAACGCCGCGUGAGUGAUGAAGGUCUUCGGAUCGUAAAACUCUGUUAUUAGGGAAGCGGUACCUAAUCAGAAAGCCACGGCUAACUACGUGCCAGCAGCCGCGGUAAUUC